GCUGAGUACAAAUCGUAUCCUUAGAUCAUGACUCAUCUCUACGUAGUCAUAAACUAUUCAAAAAUCUAUCUCAUGAAAUAAUGAAAACUACUACUUAAACACAUGAAUAAAAUCACAGAAACUAUUCACAUUUGCUAAAUAUUCAAUAUUAUUCAAAAAUAAAGAAGCCUUACAACGUUCAAGUAGUUGAUUGCAUAAAAAAAUACACAAUGAGAUCAUAAAAUAAAAUACAAAUCUGGAUUGAAGGACUUCAUCUACUCUUCUGAAGAUGAACACUGCGAUCCACGCAUAGAGCCACUCCCUUCUUUCGCUCUCUUUUUUUCUAUAAUUUUCUCUCAAUUUUUGCUCUCCUCUUUCUCCUCUACCUGGAUCCUUUUUUAUAGCCUUCAUAACCCCCUUGUAUCACAUCUCCUUGUUACUUAUAGAAUCAUACGUGUUAUAGGAGUCCUGGCCAUAUUAAAUCUCUCAGAAUCGUGUCCCAACCGUGUCCCUGCCUUCUAGCCUUUGGAUCACAAUUAAACACCCCAGAUUAUGCCUUACAGUGCCUUAUCUCGGUCGGAAUCAAUAUUUGCCUUCGGAUCAAGCUCAAUUUUUGUUCUGGACCAUCGGAUGGCACAAAGAAAAGUUUCAGAUUUGUUCUUCCAGCCAGUAGCAUGUCCCAACUAUUGGAUCGUGUGUGGAAUGGCUUCAGACCGUUCGAUCGUGCCAAUUUAGUGGGCCACCACCACUUGACAUGAUAAGGAGC
rnacentral:lncRNA from 1 species